GAUGAACGCUGGCGGCGUGCCUAAUACAUGCAAGUCGAGCGAACGGACGAUAAGCUUGCUUCUCUGAUGUUAGCGGCGGACGGGUGAGUAACACGUGGAUAACCUACCUAUAAGACUGGGAUAACUUCGGGAAACCGGAGCUAAUACCGGAUAAUAUUUUGAACCGCAUGGUUCAAAAGUGAAAGACGGUCUUGCUGUCACUUAUAGAUGGAUCCGCGCUGCAUUAGCUAGUUGGUAAGGUAACGGCUUACCAAGGCAACGAUGCAUAGCCGACCUGAGAGGAUGAUCGGCCACACUGGAACUGAGACACGGUCCAGACUCCUACGGGAGGCAGCAGUAGGGAAUAUUCCGCAAUGGGCGAAAGCCUGACGGAGCAACGCCGCGUGAGUGAAGAAGGUCUUCGGAUCGUAAAACUCUGUUAUUAGGGAAGAACAUAUGUGUAAGUAACUGUGCCCAUCUUGACGGUACCUAAUCAGAAAGCCACGGCUAACUACGUG
rnacentral:rRNA from 1 species